rnacentral:rRNA from 2 species
CAAGGUUUCCGUAGGUAAACCUGCGGAAGGAUCAUUGUCGAAACUGC